UACGGAGGGUGCGAGCGUUAAUCGGAAUUACUGGGCGUAAAGCGUGCGCAGGCGGUUAUAUAAGACAGAGGUGAAAUCCCCGGGCUCAACCUGGGAACUGCCUUUGUGACUGUAUAGCUUGAGUGCGGCAGAGGGGGAUGGAAUUCCGCGUGUAGCAGUGAAAUGCGUAGAUAUGCGGAGGAACACCGAUGGCGAAGGCAAUCCCCUGGGCCUGCACUGACGCUCAUGCACGAAAGCGUGGGGAGCAAACAGG
rnacentral:rRNA from 1 species